rnacentral:rRNA from 1 species
AUUGAACGCUGGCGGCAGGCCUAACACAUGCAAGUCGAACGAGUGGCGGACGGGUGCGUAAUGUCUGGGAAACUGCCUGAUGGAGGGGGAUAACUACUGGAAACGGUAGCUAAUACCGCAUACCAUCGGAUGUGCCCAGAUGGGAUUAGCUAGUAGGGGGGUGAAAGGCUCACCUAGGCGACGAUCCCUAGCUGGUCUGAGAGGAUGACCAUCAAAACUGGACCUGAGACACGGUCCAUACUCUUACGGGGGGCAGCAGUGGGGAAUAUUGCACAAUGGGCGCAAGCCUGAUGCAGCCAUGCCGCGUGUAUGAAGAAGGCCUUCGGGUUGUAAAGUACUUUCAGCGGGGAGGCGUUACCCGCAGAAGAAGCACCGGCUAACUCCGUGCCAGCAGCCGCGGUAAUUC